GACGAACGCUGGCGGCGUGCUUAACACAUGCAAGUCGAACGGAAAGGCCCUGCUUGUAGGGUACUCGAGUGGCGAACGGGUGAGUAACACGUGUGUGUUCUGCUCUGCACUUAGGGAUAAGCUUGGGAAACUGGGUCUAAUACCGGAUAGGUGCCCUCCUUAGUGUGGUGGUUGGAUAGUUUUUUCGGUGUGGGAUGAGCUCGCGGCCUAUCUGCUUGCUGGUGGGGUAAUGGCCUACCAAGGCGGCGACGGGUAGCCGGCCUGAGCUGGUGUCCGGCCACACUGGGACUGAGAUACGGCCCAGGCUCCUACGGGUAGCAGCAGGGGGGAAUAUUGCACAACGGGCGCAAGCCUGAUGCAGCGACGCCGCGUGGGGGAUGAAGGCCUUCGGGUUGUAAACUCCUUUCCCUAGGGGCGAAGCUUUUUGUGACGGUACCUAGGUAAGAAGCACCGGCUAACUACGUG
rnacentral:rRNA from 1 species